rnacentral:rRNA from 1 species
AUUGAACGCUGGCGGCAGGCCUAACACAUGCAAGUCGAGCGGAUGAAGGGAGCUUGCUCCUGGAUUCAGCGGCGGACGGGUGAGUAAUGCCUAGGAAUCUGCCUGGUAGUGGGGGAUAACGUCCGGAAACGGGCGCUAAUACCGCAUACGUCCUGAGGGAGAAAGUGGGGGAUCUUCGGACCUCACGCUAUCAGAUGAGCCUAGGUCGGAUUAGCUAGUUGGUGGGGUAAAGGCCUACCAAGCCGACGAUCCGUAACUGGUCUGAGUGGAUGAUCAGUCACACUAGAACUGAGACGCGGUCCAGGCUCCUACGGGAGGCAGCAGUGGGGAAUAUUGGACAGUGGGCGAGAGCCUGACCCAGCCAUGGCGCGUGUGUGAAGGAGAUCUUCGGAUUGUAAAGCACUUUAAGUUGGGAGAAAGGGCAGUAAGUUGAUACCUUGCUGUUUUGACGUUACCGACAGAAUAAGCACCGGCUAACUACGUG